rnacentral:tRNA from 1 species
GGUCAAGAGUGGCGCAAGGGUAGCGCACGUGAUUGCAGAUUUGCUUCAUAAAUCGUGUUGUCAUCAGUUCGAUCCUGGUCUGUUCCU